GUGAACCGUCAGGGGAAAACCUGAGAAACCCGAAAGAUCGNAUGAGGAGACUCAUCGUNNGCNGAAUCGACUUGCGUGCGGNUCGCGAUGUUCGUAUCGGUUUUUAAAACCCUUACGGCACGCGUCCGCUGCGUAACGUUCGUUUACGUCGGCGUGCACUUCUNCUCUAGUAGAACGUCGCGACCCGCUGGGUGUCGUUCCAAGGACCGGUGUNGUAGACUGUUCCUGCGCUUNGGCGUGUAUUGGUAACAGACGCCCGGAUUUCCCGAUCGACNGCCCGGCGGUAUAACAAAAGGUAUCNAGCCGCACGCAUUUUUUGCAUGUGCGUUCAGGCCCGUCGCAAGCUCGAUUAUCGCUCGNAGCGCGNACCAAGCGCCGNGCCCGGNACUGAUCANCUGUUGGUANACGGNGUUCUCNAACUGGCUAAAUUUCNAACGAUCAUUUUUUUGAACUAUUGCUAUACCUAUCUGCNACGCUNUUGCUUUGGGUACUUUCAGGACCCGUCUUGAAACACGGACCAAGGAGUCUAACAUGUGCGCNAGUCAUUGGGAAUUGAUUAAAACCUAAAGGCGCAUUUAAUGAGAAAUUGAUCGACGCGGCUCUUUUGUCGUCGUCGGUCAAAGGGAGGAUGGUUCGCGUUGAGAUGCUGAACCCGCACUCCCGGAGCGUUUCACGUUCUUUUUAAGAAUCAAGAGGCGCACCAAGAGCGUACACGUUGGGACCCGAAAGAUGGUGAACUAUGCCUGGUCAGGACNAANUCAGGGGAAACCCUGAUGGAGGUCCGUACCGAUUCUGACGUGCAAAUCGAUCGUCGGAACUGGGUAUAGGGGCAAAAGACUAAUCAACCC
rnacentral:rRNA from 1 species